GGCGGCGCGGCCCCGCGCAGCCACGGGGCGAAGGCACAUCUCCGAGCGGAGCGGAGGCCCCGCUCCCUCCGGCUCACGUGGGGGCGAGGCGGAGGCUCCGGGCUCCGGAGAGUGGCUUUGUCCGUACUCCGUGCCGACGUGCUGGUAGCGGGGUGCAGCAACCAUGUAAGUACUGCGGCUUGCUGCGUCUUCAGCAGUGCCACUUAAUUCACCCUACCGACGGUGCACACACCCAGCUCAGUUUACUGCCUGCGGUGGUUGUGCGUGGACGUAGGAUACUGACCAGCGGAAUUGCUGCGAGUAUCACUGUAGUUCUGUGGUACUUCGUGAAGGACUGCCCGCCAAUAAAAGCUGAUUUGAAACCUGCUAGCUAAGAGGAUGAAGUAAGGUUUCACUAGAAGAAAACCACCUUGCCCACCUGUUGUACUCUCCGUGCUUUUAAUUUGCUUUUAAGGAACUAGACAUGGCAGUGCACACAUCCAGGUGCAACGAGAGGAGCAAAACAAAAUAAACAGUGUCGCAUUUACCCUCUGCCUUUCAAGUUUGUGCUACCUUAAUUCCAGAGCACGAUCGUCUCCGACCGCCAGGGGCAGCGGAAUCUGCUGCCUGUCAAAACUGGCGCUUUUUUUCAUCAUGAGACUAUCAACUCCAUCUGUCACAAAAAUUAGGGCUAAAUGUGUUUCCCAGAAACUCGGGGAUCCUAGCGCUGCGGACCAAUGUUUGAGAGCGCAGUGAAGGCUUCCUUAAUUGAACAUCGUGGACGUCAUUUGUCAAAGGCAGAGCAUUGCAUGAACUAAGCAUAUUCCUGAGAGAAUGUGCAUCAGGAGCGGCUGAGUGGCCAUGUUGAAACCUUUCUGUGAAUUUGGUAACCUUCCAGAAGCCAUGCAUACCACCAGGUGGAAAACUGCAGCCUGAAUGUCAUAGUACAAGUAUUGGAAGAGUAAAGCCCAGCUCGUAGCAGAUAACCCAGAGCAAGCCACUAUUUGAAUGCAUUCACAUAAUGUGUUCGAUGAAUUAUUAGAGAAUAUGACAAAAUUUAUGUUUGUUUGCACGUCAUUUGAGAACAGAAAAUGGGGCAAAAGCUGUCAAACAAGGAGCUUGUUGUGAACAGUUCAGGCAGUAUUAGUCUUCUUUUAGGUGGAAUGUGACCCUGCUAACCCUGAAGUGUGAGUUAGACCUUUGAUGUUCAAGGGGAUUUGGAAUUAGGCAGACAGAGUUCAUCCAGCCUGAGACAGUAGGGUGUAAGUGACCACUGCAAACUCUCCCUUUCACUCAAACCAGGCCUGGUUUGCAACCAGCCUUCAAACCGUGAGGAACGGGUGUAGGAGAAUGUUUUUUUAAAUCUGGGUAGGAGGUGGCAAGAGGUCUGUUCCUUUUCAAAAAAAAAAAAAAGAAAAGAAAAAUUAAUGGAGGACAAACAGUAGAGAUAAAAGGGAAGAAAACGCUCCUUUUUCAUGUCUUUUCUCUUGUUUUUCAGUAAGAAGUUACCAUAUAUAGAGCAAUCACUGUCAACAUUAUCAUAUUAGCAUUUACUGUGCUGGAAAGUCUAACAAGGUAUAAAAUACUUCUGUGUCUUUGUCAAGUUAGCCAAAAAGAAACUUUUUUUGUGUGUUUGUAGAACAUGAAUGCUAUAAGGAAAAUGUUCUAGUCACAGGUGAAAAGCCUCAGUAGUUUUUUUCUCCACUUCUAGCAUUUUAAUUUCACUGCGGUUGUAGUAAUGUUCAAAUCUGGAGGAUGCCUCUGGAUGUGAGCAUUUCCACUGAGUACUUACAGCCACAUUACAAUUAAGUUAAUGUUCACAGACAGCACACCUGAAAAGGCACAGAAAGAAUUCAGUUUCUUUUGGGACAAGUAGGCAUUUAUGGUCAUGAGUGAAAAUCACCUCGGUCCAAAAAAUUAAACAAAAAAGCCCAGAGUAUUCUGUUCCUAGAACUUCAAAUUAAAUGUUUAAAACUGCAGAUUAAGGCUGAAGAGGAGUACAUGUCUUUAUGUUCCACUCAUGACAGGAAAGGCUUUGAUGCUGCAGAUAGGUCUUUGUCCCUUGGAGAUGCUGAUGCAAAUGUGCUUUGUUCAUGGAAUGGCCCUGGAAACAGUCAGAAAGGGGAGGAUCUUCUCUGCGCUGGCAACAAGGCAAAAACCCAAUUGCAGCUGUGCAGUGGCUAUUGCAUCAGCAGUGCAAGUCAACAUUUCCCCAGGAAUGUAAAGCCAUCUGUCACAUCCCUGCAACCUUUCUUGGUUACUCUCCCAGUGUGCUGCGCUGGCCUUUUUUUUUUCUGUCUGACACAGAACCUUUUAUUGGAACAUAUUUGAAAAGCUAAAUUCAGCAAAUGCAAGUUAUUAAAACUGUUUUUUAUAUGAUAAAAAUACAAAUGUGGGAGAUACUUUUUCACAAGUCAAAUUAUUGAACUGUGAUGUUUUGAGGAAACAGUUUCUCUCUUUAUUCUAAGAAUAAAUGAUUGUAGCAUACACGAUCAUUUAUUUAGAAAUAGGGUCAUUUCUUGUACUUUACUAAAUCUUGUCUUGAAAAGGUAGAAAAACAGAAAUAUCAAGAAGACUAUAUAUUAUGUAAUUGUAUACUGUCUUUGCUGAACUUUGAAAAGUUCUUUCAGUGCCCUCUCCUUGCUCUCAAUGCAAAGUAAUCUACUACCCACUGUUACUCUUAUCAGAUGUCUUUUCUGUGGAGUGGGCUAGCUCUGUUUCAGGAACAAAUUCUUGUGCUAGAUAAGGUCAAGUGAGAUAAGUUUUUGGAGACUGAGUUUUAAUCUUGCUUUGUUGUAAAUCAUGAGAAAGCAUGCUGAUUUUCAUCAGUGAGAAUUCUUACUUGGGCACCAAGUCUCCAGUGAUCACUUUGUAAUGUCACAAGUUAUUCAUAAUCUACUAUUGAGGUCACAGAAAAGUAUUCAUGUUUGGUUCUCUUAGGGAAUGUCUAGGCUUUGACAUUGUUUCUUUCUAGCUUUGUGCUUUAUGUAAUUAUAACAGAAUAACAUGCUUGGGGCACCUUUCAUUUUUUGUCCUGUGAGAGUUUAAUAAACCAUGAGAGGUAUUUUACAACA